GUAGGGAAUAUUGGGCAAUGGUCGGAAGACUGACCCAGCCAUGCCGCGUGCAGGAAGACGGCCCUCUGGGUUGUAAACUGCUUUUAUCUGGGAAGAAAAAGGCCAUGCGUGGCAAAUUGCCGGUACCAGAUGAAUAAGCACCGGCUAACUCCGUGCCAGCAGCCGCGGUAAUACGGAGGGUGCGAGCGUUGUCCGGAUUUAUUGGGUUUAAAGGGUGCGUAGGCGGCUGAUUAAGUCAGCGGUGAAAGACUUCGGCUUAACCGGAGCAGUGCCGUUGAUACUGGUUGGCUUGAGUGUCGGAGGGGUACAUGGAAUUGAUGGUGUAGCGGUGAAAUGCAUAGAUACCAUCAGGAACACCGAUAGCGAAGGCAUUGUACUGGCCGACAACUGACGCUGGUGCACGAAAGUGUGGGGAUCGAACAGGAUUAGAAACCCUGGUAGUCC
rnacentral:rRNA from 1 species